rnacentral:rRNA from 1 species
GAUGAACGCUGGCGGCGUGCCUAAUACAUGCAAGUCGAGCGAACAGACGAGGAGCUUGCUCCUCUGACGUUAGCGGCGGACGGGUGAGUAACACGUGGAUAACCUACCUAUAAGACUGGGUUAACUUCGGGAAACCGGAGCUAAUACCGGAUAAUAUAUUGAACCGCAUGGUUCAAUAGUGAAAGACGGUUUUGCUGUCACUUAUAGAUGGAUCCGCGCCGCAUUAGCUAGUUGGUAAGGUAACGGCUUACCAAGGCAACGAUGCGUAGCCGACCUGAGAGGGUGAUCGGCCACACUGGAACUGAGACACGGUCCAGACUCCUACGGGAGGCAGCAGUAGGGAAUCUUCCGCAAUGGGCGAAAGCCUGACGGAGCAACGCCGCGUGAGUGAUGAAGGUCUUCGGACCGUAAAACUCUGUUAUUAGGGAAGAACAAAUGUGUAAGUAACUAUGCACGUCUUGACGGUACCUAAUCAGAAAGCCACGGCUAACUACGUG